GGCUUUCUAUCUAAAUCACCAGGGUUACAACAGAACACUGAUUCACUAGAGGCUUUAUAUCUAAAUCACCAGGGUUACAACAGAACACUGAUUCACUAGAGGCUUUCUAUCUAAAUCACCAGGGUUACCACAGAACACUGAUUCACUAGAGACUUUAUAUCUAAACCACCAGGGUUACAACAGAACACUGAUUCCUCUGAUUCACUAGAGGCUUUAUAUCUAAACCACCAGGGUUACAACAGAACACUGAUUCCUCUGAUUCACUAGAGGCUUUAUAUCUAAAUCACCAGGGUUACAACAGAACACUGAUUCACUAGAAGCUUUCUAUCUAAAUCACCAGGGUUACAACAGAACACUGAUUCACUAGAGGCUUUAUAUCUAAACCACCAGGGUUACAACAGAACACUGAUUCACUAGAGGCUUUAUAUCUAAAUCACCAGGGUUACAACAGAACACUGAUUCACUAGAGACUUUAUAUCUAAAUCACCAGGGUUACAACAGAACACUGAUUCCUCUGAUUCACUAGAGGCUUUAUAUCUAAAUCACCAGGGUUACAACAGAACACUGAUUCCUCUGAUUCACUAGAGGCUUUA
ensembl:lncRNA